rnacentral:rRNA from 1 species
GACGAACGCUGGCGGCGUGCCUAAUACAUGCAAGUAGAACGCACAGUUUAUACCGUAGCUUGCUCCACCAUAGACUGUGAGUUGCGAACGGGUGAGUAACGCGUAGGUAACCUGCCUGGUAGCGGGGGAUAACUAUUGGAAACGAUAGCUAAUACCGCAUAAUAUUAAUUAUUGCAUGAUAAUUGAUUGAAAGAUGCAACUGCAUCACUACCAGAUGGACCUGCGUUGUAUUAGCUAGUAGGUGAGGUAACGGCUCACCUAGGCGACGAUACAUAGCCGGCCUGAGAGGGUGAGCGGCCACACUGGGACUUAGACACGGCCCAGACUCCUACGGGAGGCAGCAGUAGGGAAUCUUCGGCAAUGGACGAAAGUCUGACCGAGCAACGCCGCGUGAGCGAAGAAGGUUUUCGGAUCGUAAAGCUCUGUUGUAAGAGAAGAACGGGUGUGAGAGUGGAAAGUUCACACUGUGACGGUAUCUUACCAGAAAGGGACGGCUAACUACGUG